CAAACAUUGCCACCAGCAUUACAGGUGUCCUACAUACUUUUCCCUUUUAAAGCCUUCCUGUCCUGGACCAUGCUUUUGCCACCUUUCCUAGAAUCACGAAGUCAUAGAACCAAAGAAUUGUAGGGUCACAGAGUCAUAGAAUCACAGAAUCAUGGAGUUGCUUGGGUUGGAAGGGACCUCAAAGAUCACCUAGUUCCACCCCUCUGCCCCUUCAUGCUCAUAUAUCUCUUUGGUCUGAAUUAGAACACCGUUAUUGUCACAGGUGCACAGCACAAGAGGGAGCUGAGGAACACAGGUUAUGGGACUUGCCCAUGCUGAUGAGCAAAGUUGCAAUUAGAUGAAUUAGUAUGAAUAAUUGAGGUUGGCUUUCAUAUCAGCAGCCAGGCUCCUUUUUGUGACGGGGAGGAGGACACAGAUGCUGCCUGGAUGUACUGGUGGACAGUUCACACCUGCCUCACCGAUUAAUAUCUGGGGGAUUAUCCUAACCCUGCUCCAGUGGUCUUCGGUGCUGUUUUGAACUCAGGAUGGAGUUGAAGAAAAUUAGGAAGGUCUGUGAGUCCCGAACUUCAUGCAGCAUGGAGCAGUACGAGCUGGAGCCUCCUCUGGCUGAUCAUCAGGCUGAAGUCAACCACCGUGUUGUUAGUUGGAAACUGGCCAGGUUUGCAGCUGAGGCGUCAACACAAGCUGUCUGUGAGCAAGAAUCAGCACCAAUCUCUGAGAUUAUAAAGAAAGCUGAAUAUCAAAUUUCAUCACAAAUACAUACAUGUUAUUGCUGCUCACCUGGAGCUUCCUACAGGCAGAAAGAAGCAUUUCCAGGGAAUGACGGAUUUCACUUAUCUUCAACAGCUGUUUUGAAAUGGACACAGAGAUACUUAAGAGAACACGUUUAGACUAGACUCCCGCUUACAGAUGAUUAAAAUUAGAUGAGAUCCAUUCUUUA